UUAUAUACGUACCUCGGUCGGAGAAGCACGUAGGGUAUCUCUUGAGGUAUGGUUAGAGUUCACGUCAUGCCGAACCACCUCGUGCUGAUGAACUCCGCUAACGUCAAGGAACGGCUGUGUUUUUCAAACUAAAAAUAUGUUUACGUGUAUAUGAAAUUUUUAACAGCCUUGGUGAACUCGGUUAAAUGCCUCGACCAAGGUAUUCCCGAGAAUGAUUUUGGCAGAAGCCAAGCAUUUAAGAUACUCAUAAGCCAUGUUGAUUAUUUAAAUGAAAUGAAUAUUUAUGUUAUGAAAUACAUAUUGAGAUGGAAUAUUUUAAUCAUCUCCAUUUACUCGACUUUAGAUAUUUUGGAUGAUGUUUGUUUACUCACUGGGAUUAUAUAAUCUCAUCACCCUCCUUUCCACCCAUUUUAGGCUCAAGAUAGUUUGUAGAUAGCUGAUAUCGUCGAAGGAUACAGUUGGCUUUACUUCUUCAAAAAUCCUAGGUUCACAGCCUUGGUUCACUUUUGUUAUUUGGGGGCCCACGUGUCAUUGUAAAUUUAAUUACAUACUUUGACUAUCUGCAUUAUAGUAUGUAUGAAUUUAUUUCACUUUUACGCUACCAAAAAUUCCCUACAAAUAACUCUAUAAAAAUUGUUUUAUAAGAAAAUGGAAUAUUUUAUUGAAUAUUUUUAUUAUAUUCAAA
rnacentral:lncRNA from 1 species